CACGCAUGCGCAUUUAGUGGGCGAAUGUGACUUGUAUCGAUUGGAGGAAACAAUUCAGCAUCGAAGGAAUAACGACUGAAAUAUUGGAGUGUCAAAAUGACAAAACGAAAACCUGCAAAACGAUGGAGAAGAACCGGUAAAGAAGUCGACUCAAAUAAACGAUCAAGAAGGACUGUACAAUUGCCACCAAUGUGAAUGUGGAGACUGAUGAGCAAUGUCUAAGAGGUAGCAGCAGGGGAACAGAAGGAGCCCAAAACACUGCUCUUCAUAUGGAACACAUCCAACCUCCAGGUGUCCAUGCAGGAUGUACCGCUCUGGAACAUCAAGCCUCUCCCUACUCGCCAGCACAUGAAAAUAUUUCUACUUUUGACUCUAUCAAAGACAAUGGAAAACCAUUUUCCAGAUCAGCCCUCAUAGAUCCUCCUGAUGGCCUAACAACUGAACUACAUGUCGAUGCUGAGUAUGAUCCAUCUCAAUCAUUUGAGGAAUCUCUCCCUGAUAUGGGGGAUUGGAUGUACAAUGACGGACAUACGUUUAAUGAAGGAUUUGAAGAUAGUUUGAGUGAGGAGUGUGCAGAAGAGUCAAAUAUCAAGGACACAACAGACAAACCAUUAUAUGACAAUGCAUCAGUAACCGUGGCAGAGUGCCUUCUGAUCAUCAUGGCUUAUGAAAACUGUCAUAAAGUCACUAUAAGGCCCUAUAAGCGAUUUGCUGAAAAUGUUCAAGUUGCUUUGUCCCGAUAGUCUGAAUGCAGACUGCUUAAACAGUGUGCAGAAGUUCAAAAACUUUCUUUUAUCCCGCUCUGCAUCAUCGCCUAUUUUAUUACAUAAAUACUGCAGUAAUUGUUUUGGGCCAUUAGAAAGUAAACAAAUAAAAUGUCUGUCUUGUGGGACCAGUGUGUCAGAAGAA